GCAAACUUGGUCAUUUAGAGGAAGUAAAAGUCGUAACAAGGUUUCCGUAGGUGAACCUGCGGAAGGAUCAUCAGCGAUUUAGCAAAUCCUAUCACCCGUGUGCAACAUGCGAAGUCUGAUAUCCUUGGAGAGAUCAAUUUUUGCUUGAGCUCUCCAGGGAGGUUAUCACAAUCAAUGUAUUUUUUCUUUUCUUACUCUUCUAUGUCUAAAUCAAUAAAUUUAAUCGAAACAACUUUCAACAACGGAUCUCUUGGCUCUCGCAUCGAUGAAGAACGCAGC
rnacentral:misc_RNA from 1 species